AGAACAUUAGAUCUCACCGUCUCUCUGUCUGAACAGCAGCAAUGAUCGGAUUACUUUUCUCUCUUUGCAUCUUUGUACCUGGGAAAAUAUCUGACAUUAUUGAGCUUCAAGUGCAAACAGCGAGACUGGGAACUUUAGAGUUUAUAUCUGGAACCUUUUGCUUUCUGCAGAUGAGAAGACUGACCAUCAUCCUCCACCUGAACCUGCUAACAAGAAUGAAGAAGCUGUUAAAGUCCAGUGUUCAGUACAAGCAGUUACUCUGAGCUGUUCAGGAGAACACAGUGUGCACUGGAUCAGACACGGAUCAGGAGAAUCUCAUCCAGGAAUCAUCUACAUUCAUCCACACACCAGUGAUGAGUGUAAGAAAAGCUCUGAGACUGAUUCUCCUCCACAGAGCUGCGUCUACAAACUCCCCAAGAGAAACUUCAGCCUCUCUGAUGCUGGAGCUCACUACUGUGCUGUGGCUGAAUGUGGAUAGUGUCACUGCUCUGACACUGACGUGGUGGUAAUGUGUUAGUGUGUGUGUGUGGGACUGUUUAUGUUGUAAUGGGAUGAGAUGAUGUCACCCUGAUUGGACCUUGAGCAUGGGCUCAAGAAAA